UACGUAAGGUGCAAGCGUUGUCCGGAUUUAUUGGGCGUAAAGAGCUCGUAGGCGGUUUGUCGCGUCGGCCGUGAAAACCUGCAGCUUAACUGUGGGCUUGCGGUCGAUACGGGCAUCACUGGAGUUCGGCAGGGGAGACUGGAAUUCCUGGUGUAGCGGUGAAAUGCGCAGAUAUCAGGAGGAACACCGGUGGCGAAGGCGGGUCUCUGGGCCGAUACUGACGCUGAGGAGCGAAAGCGUGGGGAGCGAACAGG
rnacentral:rRNA from 1 species